rnacentral:rRNA from 1 species
CCCUAUGGGGUGCCUGUGAUAAAAUUUCCGGCAUGACCGCACGCAUUGUUUUCAUGGGCUCACCUGAUUUUGCUUUGCCCACUUUGGAAGAGCUUCAUCGCCAUUAUUCUUUCGUCGGUGUCAUCACCCAGCCCGAUCGUCCGGCGGGUCGCGGUCGUCUUCCCCAGGCUUCUCCGGUCAAACAAUUAGCGGAAUCCUAUCAUUUGCCGAUCUUUCAGCCGCUUUCGCUUCGCAAGCCAGGCGUGAUGGAGCAGUUAGAAAAAUGGCAGCCUGACCUGAUCGUGGUAGCUGCAUUCGGUCAGAUCCUUCCCGAAGUCGUCUUGGAUCUGCCCAGCAAAGGCGGUAUUAAUGUCCACGCUUCUGUGCUCCCCCGCGGGCGGGAGAGC